rnacentral:rRNA from 1 species
AUGUACUGUAGCUCCUUGCUUGCGAGUACUUUGGAUGAGUACUCAUGGUUGCUUUUCCCCCCCCUUUUCCUCCUUUUCUAUACCCGAUUGCUGCGACCAGACGAUGGUGUCCAGGAGCCAGACGCCACUGUCGAUGACGACUACUACUACUCGGGAGGUGCCUACUACUACGUGCAGCCUGCUGACGACGACGAGGAGUUGUUUAGGAGCAUCCCAGGCAGGAGGAUCCCAGGCAGGAGGCCUGCGCCUCUUUCAAUCUGUAUCCCAGUUUGUGCUAGCCUUCUUAAGGCAAACUUGUUUAACUUAUGUCUGUACUCAGAUAUUGUUGGUUCCACUGACUCGUCUAUGAUCGAGCUCUUGUAUUCGAGCCCUCGAGGCCCCUGGCUUGUAAUAUGA